rnacentral:misc_RNA from 1 species
AAUUGAGGAAUGAAUGCAGACUUUGGAACAUAAAUUGCAAGAUUUGAGCCAAGAAUUGCAUGUGACAAAUCAGAGGAAUCGCGAAGAAAGAAGCAAGAUUUUUCAGAAAAUGGAUCACAAUAAGAUGGAACUGGUGCAAAAGUAUGGAUCAAAUUCUGGAGUUGUUUCAACUUUCACAACCAAAAGUCCACAAUCUUUAGGCAUCUUGAAGUGAGGAUUGUGAAUUGAGAUUGUUGAUUCAAGAUGGUAAAACACUUGAUUUCAAGUAGAGAAACGGGUACGAUCUUGAACGAAAAUUGGAUGAGAAAUUGGUCUCUAUUCGGUGUGAACUUUCGCUCAAUCCAACUCCUUCUGUUCAAU